UGUUGGGGUAACGGCCCAACAAGCCGAUAAUCGGUACGGGUUGUGGGAGCAAGAGCCCGGAGUUGGAUUCUGAGACACGAAUCCAGGCCCUACGGGGCGCAGCAGGCGCGAAAACUUUACAAUGCGGGCAACCGUGAUAAGGGAACCUCGAGUGCCUGUAUAUGCAGGCUGUCUGGGUGUCUAAAACACACCUAAAGAAAGGGCCGGGCAAGACCGGUGCCAGCCGCCGCGGUAAUACCGGCGGCUCGAGUGGUGGCCACUUUUAUUGGGCUUAAAGCGUUCGUAGCUGGGUUAUUAAGUCCCUUGGGAAAUCCGACGGCUUAACCGUCGGGCGUCUAAGGGAUACUGGUAAUCUUGGAACCGGGAGAGGUGAGGGGUACUUCGGGGGUAGGAGUGAAAUCCUGUAAUCCUCGAGGGACCACCUGUGGCGAAGGCGCCUCACCAGAACGGCUUCGACAGUGAGGGACGAAAGCUGGGGGAGCAAACCGGAUUAGAU
rnacentral:rRNA from 1 species